AUGUUUUCUUGUUUGUCGUGGAAUGCAGAAAUUGAUUAUGGUUUGUUCACCCUGGAGGUACAUCACAAUGGCUUUUUCUGUGGCUCGGGAAGCAAUAGGACAUAUUUGGAUGACAGAGUUGAUUUUUUCGAUUAUUGUGAGGCAGAGGACAUGUCUAUUUUGUGGCUUGUUGAUUUGUUAGAGCGACUCGGUUACCCUGAUAGUGAAAAGUACAAGAUAUAUUUGCUCAUGCCUGGGAGAAGUAUUACUGAAGGACUUUUCUAUGUGUGGUGUGAUGAUGAUCUUCAGAAGAUGAUGAGUACAGUACCGAAGAACUGCAACAGCAUAAUAAUUUACGUCGAUUAA
rnacentral:rRNA from 1 species